CUCACACAGAAGUGUAAACAGAUCUCCAAACAUAAGUCACUAAAGGCAGACCUAGUCUAGGGUAGGAGAGGGUGUGGGGCUGAGACUGUGAUCAGCUUGACUAUGUCUCUAUAGCAGCCCCAAGGUCUGUGACAGAAACCUGGCUUAGGACAGAACAGAUGCGGUCCGCUGUAUCUUAAAACAAUGCCUACAAUUAAAGAUUCUUAUCAGUUCAGAUUAUAAACACAUAAGUAUUCUAAUACAAUAAAGAAGAUAUGCAAAUAGAGGCUUUCACUGCAGCCCCAUAAUUUCAUAAUAUGUUGCUAAAGAGAUCCAUGUGCUGCAGUUUAAAAGAAUAUGCUAAAAAGUGAAAGCUGAUAAAGAACAGGAAAAUGGGAAUUCAAUUUCAACUAUCAUGCAAGACUGACUAUAGGAAAUGAAGGUCACAGCCCCUUCGUAGGAUGCAUUUGUGCUGCAGAACUGAGAAUUUGAAUGUUUUGAGUUUCAAAACGGCUUUCCUUGAAACCUGGGAAAGUGAAAUGUUGAUGAUGGAGACUUGGCUUGAACAUUCAUCAAAACCACCUUAGAAUGGGCAAUGGUUUUGUCACAAAUUCUCUGACAAUAAUGUGAAUAGCAAAUUUAAUAAGCCUUGCAUGAAUAAUGCUUGAUUUCAUCUUUACAUUUUAUUAGGUAGCUAAAAGGUCAUAUUCAGAGGCUAAUUUCAUAGAAUGCCUGUGGGAGCCAUUAAAAUGUAUACAUCUUCGAGCCCUUUACUUCAAAUGGGCCAAUUUCUAAUGGAUAAAAAUUGUGUAUUUGUUGUCCUAUUUGCUGACAUUGCUGGUAGGAAAAUUAUCUUUACAACCGUAAUCUCUGAAAGAGUGCAUUAGAGACUGGAAGCUGAAAUCCAAAUUAGCUGACCAGUGCUUAUAAGAGGAUUAAAAAUUUAUUUUUUUCCCCUUGAUUGGUAAAACAAACAAAGGGCA
rnacentral:lncRNA from 1 species